CUCCUUGGGUGACGAGUGGCGGACGGGUGAGUAAUGUCUGGGAAACUGCCCGAUGGAGGGGGAUAACUACUGGAAACGGUAGCUAAUACCGCAUAACGUCGCAAGACCAAAGAGGGGGACCUUCGGGCCUCUUGCCAUCGGAUGUGCCCAGAUGGGAUUAGCUAGUAGGUGGGGUAACGGCUCACCUAGGCGACGAUCCCUAGCUGGUCUGAGAGGAUGACCAGCCACACUGGAACUGAGACACGGUCCAGACUCCUACGGGAGGCAGCAGUGGGGAAUAUUGCACAAUGGGCGCAAGCCUGAUGCAGCCAUGCCGCGUGUAUGAAGAAGGCCUUCGGGUUGUAAAGUACUUUCAGCGAGGAGGAAGGUGUUGAGGUUAAUAACCGCAGCAAUUGACGUUACUCGCAGAAGAAGCACCGGCUAACUCCGUGCCAGCAGCCGCGGUAAUACGGAGGGUGCAAGCGUUAAUCGGAAUUACUGGGCGUAAAGCGCACGCAGGCGGUCUGUCAAGUCGG
rnacentral:rRNA from 1 species